rnacentral:rRNA from 1 species
UACGUAGGGGGCAAGCGUUGUCCGGAAUCAUUGGGCGUAAAGAGCGUGUAGGCGGCCAGAUAAGUCCGCUGUGAAAUCUCGAGGCUCAACUUCGAGCUGUCGGUGGAAACUGUCUGGCUAGAGUCCGGAAGAGGAGAAUGGAAUUCCUGGUGUAGCGGUGAAAUGCGCAGAUAUCAGGAAGAACACCCGUGGCGAAGGCGGAUCUCUGGGCCUUACCUGACGCUCAGGUGCGAAAGCUAGGGGAGCGAACAGG